rfam:Echinostoma caproni strain Egypt genome assembly, scaffold: ECPE_scaffold0003599
GCACCGCGGACGAGUCCCAAACAAGACGAAACAGCUGUCCAGUGC